UACGUAGGGUGCAAGCGUUAAUCGGAAUUACUGGGCGUAAAGCGUGCGCAGGCGGUUUGUUAAGACAGAUGUGAAAUCCCCGGGCUUAACCUGGGAACUGCAUUUGUGACUGGCAAGCUAGAGUAUGGCAGAGGGGGGUAGAAUUCCACGUGUAGCAGUGAAAUGCGUAGAGAUGUGGAGGAAUACCGAUGGCGAAGGCAGCCCCCUGGGCCAAUACUGACGCUCAUGCACGAAAGCGUGGGGAGCAAACAGG
rnacentral:rRNA from 1 species